rnacentral:rRNA from 1 species
CCUGGCGGCGUGCUACACAUGCAGUCGAACGGAGCCCAACCGGUGGCAACCCGGGGAAGGCUCAGUGGCGAACGGGUGAGUAACACGUGAGCAACCUGCCCCGAAGACCGGGAUAACACCGGGAAACUGGUGCUAAUACCGGAUGCCCUCACGGGGUCGCAUGAUCCGGUGAGGAAAGGGCUUACCGCUUCGGGAGGGGCUCGCGGCCUAUCAGCUCGUUGGUGGGGUAACGGCCCACCAAGGCGACGACGGGUAGCUGGUCUGAGAGGACGACCAGCCACACUGGGACUGAGACACGGCCCAGACUCCUACGGGAGGCAGCAGUGGGGAAUCUUGCGCAAUGGGCGAAAGCCUGACGCAGCAACGCCGCGUGGGGGACGAAGGCCUUCGGGUUGUAAACCCCUUUCAGCAGGGACGAAACUGACGGUACCUGCAGAAGAAGCCCCGGCCAACUACGUGCCAGCAGCCGCGGUAAU